rnacentral:rRNA from 1 species
UCGGGUUGUAAAGCACUUUUGUCCGGAAAGAAAACCUCUGGGUUAAUACCCCGGGGGGAUGACGGUACCGGAAGAAUAAGCACCGGCUAACUACGUGCCAGCAGCGCGGUAAUCGUAGGGUGCGAGCGUUAAUCGGAAUUACUGGGCGUAAAGCGUGCGCAGGCGGUUCGUUAAGACAGAUGUGAAAUCCCCGGGCUUAACCUGGGAACUGCAUUUGUGACUGGCGGGCUAGAGUAUGGCAGAGGGGGGUAGAAUUCCACGUGUAGCAGUGAAAUGCGUAGAGAUGUGGAGGAAUACCGAUGGCGAAGGCAGCCCCCUGGGCCAAUACUGACGCUCAUGCACGAAAGCGUGGGGAGCAAACAGGAUUAGAUACCCUGGUAGUCCACGCCCUAAACGAUGUCAACUAGUUGUCGGGUCUUCAUUGACUUGGUAACGAAGCUAACGCGUGAAGUUGACCGCCUGGGGAGUACGGUCGCAAGAUUAAAACUCAAAGGAAUUGACGGGGACCCGCACAAGCGGUGGAUGAUGUGGAUUAAUUCGAUGCAACGCGAAAAACCUUACCUACCCUUGACAUGUACGGAACCUUGCCG